rnacentral:tRNA from 1 species
GUAGAUAUAGUUUAAUUAAAACAUUAGAUUGUGAUUCUAAAAUCAAGAGUUAAACCCUCUUUAUCCACC